UUAGUUCUUUUCAAUUUCUCAUUGUGCCUUGCCCUUAGCAUAAAAUGCAUGCUUAAUUAUAAAUGUUGUGAAUUUUUAAAAAGUUGAUGCAAUGAAGAGUCUAAUUAGGCUACCUUGUGCGUAGGGGCGGAGCCACAUUGGCUCCAGGGGGUUCAUCCGAACCCCCUCGGCGAAAAAUUAUAGUGUAUUUUUAAAGUUAAAAUUAUUUUGUUAUGUAUAUAUAGUAGAUGUUGAACCCCCUGACUUCUUCGUGUAUUUACCUUUUAGAAUUUUUGAACCUUCUGGAUGAAAAUCCUGGCUCCGCCACUGCUUGUGCGGUAGAAUUUUUUUGGCAUGCAUAUGAUACUGUAGUUCUACUAUUAAAAGGCAACUUAUUGAAAUUACUUGCAUUGAUCUAAUUAAGAUUGACCAGUAAGUUAGGUCUGUGGGAAAAAUUGCGGAGAUGAAUAUAUAAUUAUCAGGUCUGUUUUUUAAUUCUAAGCCUGUAAUCACUCAAACUUUGUGAACUAUAAUUUAUCAAGGUUUGAUUCAUUUUAAGACCAUUUGUUCUUCCAUACAUUUCUGUCUAAAUAUACACAGUAAAUGGAUUAUGCAAACUCAUUUGAAGGCCAUCAACAAGUAAAACUUGAAGCUCUUGGAAAAAAUCCUCUUAUGCACAUGAAAAUACUAGGAGGAAGAAAGAUUUUUCUAGGCUAUAAAAAGGCAGUAACUUUUAGGUAAAGUGACCGAAUGGUGAUUCAUGCAUAAAUAAGACUCCCUACAUGAAUGUGAAACUGGAGCAAAAGCUAACCUCAAGCAGGAUCCAAAGAUUCCUAAGGAACGAAAUUAUAUUCACCGAAUGAAGGAUGUACCAACAAUUGAGAUUAUCCAUUGGAUGUUGUAGAGGAAGGAUGGUGCUUAACUUGGAGCCAGCGAACAAUGAGAGUCUAUGCAGCUGCUAAAGGCAAGUUUCAGUACCUUUAAAAUUGUCAUCGAACGAGAGUGAAAGUUCGUAAAGAGGUAAACUGAUACCUUCUAAUUGACCAUCUUGCGUCAGAUUCAUAUAUAUAACAAAAAUAACAGCAAAUACAAUUAGAACUUUUGGUGGUUGUGGCCUUCUAUUGACGGUUGAUACUGUCAUCCUUGAAGUAAUAAAAGACCAAGUUCAGCUCCUUAUCCUAAUUUCAUUAGUAAAGAAAAAGAUUACUAACGAGUUCACAUCAAUAUGGCUUUUUCCAAUUCCCUGCAUGCUAAUUGUACUACUAUUGUUCUUAAUUUUCACUUCUAUAAAUGUUGCUGGUAUGAAGUUUAAUUAUAUACUGUCUCAAUGAUUCUAUUAUGUAAAACUAACAUGCAGAUAUAAACAUUCUUCGCAGUUUUAAGACUCUCAAUGUUUUCAUGUGUUUGCCCAAAGCUUUUGCCUUCCUUGCGUUGCACUUCAGCAUCGCCAAUGGUGACAAACGCUCCUAAGACAUCUAGCAUUUUGGGAUUUGGCUGUCAUAACAGUUUUGAUCAUAGUGCUAACUUCUCGGGGUGCAUUAUUCUGGCCCUAACCGUCUAUGUACUUUUUGUCAGGUACCUCAUUAUUUGACCAAUAGUUUGGUUCAGACAAAAAGAAUCGAGAA